rnacentral:rRNA from 1 species
AUUGAACGCUGGCGGCAGGCUUAACACAUGCAAGUCGAGCGGGGUGAUGGUGCUUGCACUAUCACUUAGCGGCGGACGGGUGAGUAAUGCUUAGGAAUCUGCCUAUUAGUGGGGGACAACAUCUCGAAAGGGAUGCGGAUACCGCAUACGUCCUACGGGAGAAAGCAGGGGAUCACUUGUGACCUUGCGCUAAUAGAUGAGCCUAAGUCGGAUUAGCUAGUUGGUGGGGUAAAGGCCUACCAAGGCGACGAUCUGUAGCGGGUCUGAGAGGAUGAUCCGCCACACUGGGACUGAGACACGGCCCAGACUCCUACGGGAGGCAGCAGUGGGGAAUAUUGGACAAUGGGGGGGAACCCUGAUCCAGCCAUGCCGCGUGUGUGAAGAAGGCCUUAUGGUUGUAAAGCACUUUAAGCGAGGAGGAGGCUCUUUUGGUUAAUACCCAAGAUGAGUGGACGUUACUCGCAGAAUAAGCACCGGCUAACUCUGUGCCAGCCGCCGCUGUAA